UAGAAAUUAGUCUAAUAGAAAGACCCUGAGCCUUGAUCUCUGCACUGUAGAAUCACAACCUACAUUUCUAA
rnacentral:tRNA from 1 species